rnacentral:misc_RNA from 1 species
GAUGAAGAACGUAGUGAAAUGCGAUAAGUAAUGUGAAUUGCAGAAUUCAGUGAAUCAUCGAAUCUUUGAACGCACAUUGCGCCCGCCAGUAUUCUGGCGGGCAUGCCUGUUCGAGCGUCAUUUCAACCAUCAAGCCCCAGGCUUGUGUUGGGGACCUGCGGCUGCCGCAGGCCCUGAAAACCAGUGGCGGGCUCGCUGUCACACCGGGCGUAGUAGAUUUUAUCUCGCUCUGGGCGUGCUGCGGGUUCCGGCCGUUAAAAAGCCUUUUUUACCCAAGGUUGACCUCGGAUCAGGUAGGAAGACCCGCUGAACUUAAGCAUAUCAAUAAGCGGAGG